rnacentral:rRNA from 1 species
AUACGGAGGGUGCAAGCGUUAUUCGGAAUCACUGGGCGUAAAGGACGCGUAGGCGGGUUGGCAAGUCAGAUGUGAAAUCCUACAGCUUAACUGUAGAACUGCAUUUGAAACUGCUAACCUAGAGUAUGGGAGGGGGAGAUGGAAUUAGUGGUGUAGGGGUAAAAUCCGUAGAUAUCACUAGGAAUACCGAAAGCGAAGGCGAUCUCCUGGAACAUAACUGACGCUAAGGCGUGAAAGCGUGGGGAGCAACCAGGAUUAGAAACCCUUGUAGUCC